rnacentral:rRNA from 1 species
GAUGAACGCUGGCGGCGUGCCUAAUACAUGCAAGUCGAGCGAACAGAUGAGGAGUUUGCUCCUCUGACGUUAGCGGCGGACGGGUGAGUAACACGUGGAUAACCUACCUAUAAGACUGGGAUAACUUCGGGAAACCGGAGCUAAUACCGGAUAAUCUACUGAACCGCAUGGUUCAAUAGUGAAAUACGGUUUUUCUGUCACUUAUAGAUGGUUCCCCGCCGCAUUAGCUAGUUGUUAAGGUAACGGCUUACCAAGGGAACCAUGCGUAGCCGAUCUGAGAGGGUGGUCGGCGACAUUGGAACUGAAACACGGUCCAGGCUCCUGCGAGAGGCAGCAGUAGGGAAUCUUCCGCAGUGGGCGAAAGCCUGACGGAGCGACGCCGCGUGAGUGAUGAAGGUCUUCGGAUCGUAAAACUCUGUUAUUAGGGAAGAACAAAUGUGUAAGUAGCUAUGCACGUCUUGACGGUACUUAAUCAGAAAGCCACGGCUAACUACGUG